AGAGUUUUAGUAACCUAAAUUAACUAAAAGUAAUAAAAGAACAAAUUUUUUUUCUUAGUUUAAGGUACUUUCAUUGGGGAAGUGAAAGGUGAUUAAAAACCUUUACAUACAAUUAUACAAAUAGUAGAAUAGAAGAUCCUUAAAAAGAAUUAAGAAAAAACUACUCAGGGAUAACAGCGUUAUUUUACUGAGAG
rnacentral:rRNA from 1 species